rnacentral:rRNA from 1 species
UACGUAGGGUGCAAGCGUUGUCCGGAAUUAUUGGGCGUAAAGAGCUCGUAGGCGGUUUGUCGCGUCUGCUGUGAAAACCCGUGGCUCAACCACGGGCCUGCAUCCGAUACUGGCGGGCUCGAGGCAGGCAGGGGAGAUCGGAAUUCCUGGUGUAGCGGUGAAAUGCGCAGAUAUCAGGAGGAACACCGGUGGCGAAGGCGGAUCUCUGGGCCUGUCCUGACGCUCAGGCGCGAAAGCUAGGGGAGCAAACAGG